UAGUAGCCUUUCUUUAAAUUCAGUUUAGAAAUAGAUGGCUUUUGUAUUUCACUGCUGUGCUUUGCUGCACCCCAUAGGAACCUUGGUGGACAAAAUGGUUCUUGGGUGGGUGCUGGAAACAAACAGCAUGUUUUUUUGUGUAAAUAAUUGAAGACAGAAGCAAGCUGGUUUAAACAAUGUGUUUAUAUUGCAAGUGUGUCGCAGUGGAGCCUAGCUAACACCCCGACCAAUUAUACUUCCAAAUUUUGCCCUUUGGGGACAGGAAAAGGCUGUCAAGUGCUGGACUGUCUGCAAAUCAUAGAAGUCUUUGAGUUCUUUUCAUUGUUAAAAGGGUCACUUACUGUGAGCAAACAACUCAUAAAUCAAUGGUAGUUGACACUCAAGUUCUGGCAGGAGGUUUCGGAGCUGUGUAAUGGCAUUUGGGAGAUGGAUCCACAGCUCCCUGUGCCCCGCGUCUGUGGGCCAGGGGAAGCGAACUGAAAUGGCAGCUCUUCAUGACAGCCCUUUUCUGCAAGUGCCAGAUGAGGUGUGUAGUUCAGAUACAACGCAUGUCUUUCUCACAUGUGUGCUUUUCCUUUUGGUCAAGAAAAAUCCUUCUCUCUCUUUCUGCUUUAAGGAACACCAGAAUUAGACCAGAAGGAAUAACCACAACUGCUCGUAAUUUACCAAGGACUGCGGAGGGAAAAGAUGGGCAGCCGGUUCUUACUGGGCAGAGCCUUGGCCAUGGAUUAUCUUACAAAAGAAGUGUGGACUGCCACGGGGAGUUGUUCAAAACAAGCAGUACCUUAUCCGCCAGCUCGUCGGAGCCCCUCUCAGGGUGGUGCAGGGCAUCAGAGCGGCUGUGAGGAAGGAGCAGGGCCGCGGGGAAGGGGAGGUGGUCCCACCGGCCCCGUGCGCCUCGCGACUCGCAGCUGAGCUUGAUCUAGGAAAAAUGCUUUCCCCCAGAGGGUGUAAGGCAGCAUGUUACACUAACCAACUGCCACGACAGAAACUGGCUAUGUAAUGAUGCUUCUUGCCCUGUCCCCGCUUGGCUGAUGGCAGUAUGCUUUGCCUUUCAUCCACCUCUGCUUAGGGAAAGAGCCCUAGGGGUGAGCAGGGCAUGCCUGCCUGUUCCUCCUGGGGCUGAGGUAAAAAGCACAGAGCCUUGCGCACUCACGCAGGAGCUGCCUGAAGUGCUGCCAGCGAGUGCCACAGCCAAAAAAACCUGGACACGGGUGGUGCUGCCUGCCCAAGCACUUCUCAGAGGGACGUGUCACGGGUGCUUAGUCAACAGCAGCGUCAGAGGGCAAGGUGCAGCACUUCCCUCCUGGUCACGGAGCUCCUAACAGUGGAUGCACUGAAAGGUUUGUGUGCUGCACAGCCUGCUGCCCUGAGGAAAAUGAACACGCUCUCCUGCAUCCAGUAUUAGGCCGCAUUGUAUGAACAGACUGUGGUGAUUCUCUCUGGAGAAGGGAAGGAGAAGUCUUGAGCUCAACCCUCAGUGCCCUUCACAGCUUAGGUAGCAGGGCUCAUCAGGACAGCAGCUUCCCACACACAAUGCUGCAGUUAUCUGAUGGUAUAUCAGUAUUUUUUCUACCCCAUUCCCUUUUUUCCAGUUUCCUAAAGGAGUGGCAUUGGUCCUUUUAGCAGCUGCCAUGUCAGAAGCAUCCAGGAGGAGACUGCAGGAAGCUGGCGGUUUCUGGGAAAAAUGAAGCAAAGCUGUGGGGAGCUGCUGGCUGAGUCAGUGGCUUUCUAACAUCUUUCCCUACCAGCGCUGCCCACUCCUGCCGAGCUGGACCAGCCUCCUGGCAGCAAAGGCCCCGUCCGAGCUGCUCGCAUCCCAGGCAGAGUCAGCAUGCUGACCUCUCCGGUUUGUGAGGACCAGUGCUCAACGUGUGCACCUAGCCUUGCAGUGCCUCUCUAGCCCUCUUCCUCUCCUCCACCACCUCUCAGUUGUUGACUGACAGGUUUCACAAGUAACAUGGUAAUAUUUUAAAAAUGCCUUUGAAAAAAUGAAAAUAAUUGAUGUGAUCUGUGUAGAGUGAGAUUGCUGGUGGGGAACAGCUGUGGCA